ACGGAGGAUGCGAGCGUUAUCCGGAUUUAUUGGGUUUAAAGGGUGCGUAGGUGGACUGUUUAGUCAGUGGUGAAAUGCUGAUGCUCAACGUUAGCAUUGCCGUUGAAACUGACAGUCUUGAGAGUGAUUGAGGCAGGCGGAAUGCGUGGUGGAGGGUAAAAAGACAAAGAUACCACAAAGACCCCAAAUGGCGAAGGCAUCUACCAAAGCCACAACUGACACUGAAGCACGAAAGCGUGGGGAUCAAACAG
rnacentral:rRNA from 1 species